CGCGAUCGCGCGUCACUCAAUUGUGAAGCGGGCGCGCGCGCGCUCCUCCGGCCAAAUUGAUUUUAAAUUAAAUUAUGAGUAGACAUUUUUUCAAACACGGGUUUAUCUGCAUUUCGCAUGCGGCGUGUCGUCGCGCGUGCAUGCCACCCUUCGGCCUGAGUCGCAUUAGAGUCGCGCACAUGCAAAAAACGUGUCAUCGCGCUGAGAGCCUCGAUUAAAUCGAUUAAAACUUUUUAAAACUGUUUUUAUCCGAUAAAAAAGAAUAUACUAGUUUUAGUAUUAAAAGAAAAGCAAAUUCUGUCGUAUUGUACAUUGAUAAUCUUUACGGAACAAGCCCGCGCACAUUGAACAUGUGCAGUGAUGAAGAGUGUGCAAAUGAAGCGUGAAAUUGCGACAAUAGAUGGGCGCACUCCGUGCCAAGCGCAGCGAGUGCAAGAGACCGAAGAGCUUCGAGUUAGGUAGCGCGAAGAACGCUGGCUUCACGUACGUUUCGAUUAUCGUCAUACUACUAUGAAACUAUCCAAAACUUCGUCGGCAGACGCAUUCGGAAGGCUGAACAAUAAGCUAAGACAUUAUCAACCACCAGCGUGCGAUCAUGACUCCCAGUGACGACUUUGGAUGCCUCGCCGAGGAACUUAGCUGCGAGAACCUUCCCAGAAUGUCCAGUCAAUGUGUGCUGAAAAAAAUAAUUACAUUUCUAUGAUUAACCAGUAUACACAUUGUUUGUGGAAUUUGAGUCGUUGACAGGACAAUACGUAAGAAAGUGUUCUUCGCUAUUGUCGAAAACAGAAAGAAAGCAUUUCUCGGUUCGCUACGACUCCAACCUGCCUGUUUCCUGCAUUCGAUGAGCGUUGGCGUUCGCGAUGAGGACGACGUUGACAAAUACUCCCGCCGCACACGCGGAUCGUCCGUCCUUUUAGGUCGCGCGUCGGCUUGUGUACGUAACAACAACAACCGAACACGACGAAUAGAUUGGAAACUCGCCUCUCGUCGUGGAGGAACAAGCCAGGGGAUGAAAUCAGCGGCGGACGCAGCGAAGCGGCGAGAUGAACAACCGGAGGAUGGGCGCCUCCGCCGCCGCCGCGCGCGGUAGUCGUGUACAAUAUUGUAUUUUUAAAAUGGAACACGUCCAUUCCGACGUGAUUUACUAGCUCCUCGGCAGACGGGACGGCGGGUUUAAGUGAACUAUAUAACGCGAGCCAAUAACAGCAAUCGCAUUUCGCGCAAUUUUCUUUUUAACUAAAAGCUCUGGCUUGCAGCACGAAUUCCGAAUUCCGACUGGAGCAUCUAAUAACGUGACAUUUUCACGCAUCCGGCUUUUAAUGCAUCUUCACGACAAGCGAAAUCAAUAUAAAUUUACAUUUUAUUUAUAAAACAACUUCGGCUAAAACUCGGCAUACACAAACAAUAAUGUUGACAUUUGGAAUGGCGUAUCAUGAAACUUGAUGAUAACGUUAGGUCACAAUCUAACUUAAUGUAAUGUCGUUAUGCUUAGGUAAAUAUAAUGCACAAUAAAAUACUUGUGCGUCGUCGGAAAGUUAGUCGAGAGGACGCGCAGUUGCGGGAGACGGCGAUGUCUUUCGAAACGCGAUUUAAACUUUAUAUUUAAUUUCACUCCAACAAUUACGCGACAUUACGCGGCGGCCGGCAACUUCUCGCCCCCCAUCGCAAUUGAAUAAUAAACCGAAAGGCGCGUGAAAAUGCGAAAGAAACACACUCACCGUCUCGGAUUAGGGAUGAAAUACGUUCGCGUUCUCGCGAACUCCCACGCAAACUUUUAAAAUUAAUCACAAUUUAAAUAAAAUGUGUUUGUACGGAGCGGCGCUACGUCGCGCCGCUUGUUAUUAUUGUUGUAAUUAAAUUUAAAACUUUCUGUUAUAAUGAGAAGGAAUGAAACGAAGGCACUAUUUUCCCUAACUAAACUUUUCAACACUUGCACCAUUUUACAUUUUUGCGAUAAAAUUCUGCAAAAUAAAUUUCCCGAGGAAUAUCAGCGGGUUCAAUCGGUACGCAUGAUAAACAUACACAUACCUACUUGUGUGAAAUUGAAUAUGCUACACCCCCGCCGCCCGACUUCUGGAAAUGGUUCGGGUGCGUCAUCCUUGUUAUUGUUGCUGCGCGCCGACAAAAUGCAAAUAUUUUCCCGACGCCCCCGCGCUAAUAAAUAUCGCACCACUCGGGAUACAGCGCGGGAGCAGGAAUUGCAUUCGAGGUUGAAACAGCCGGUUUUAUUUUAAUCGCGAGGGCCGCGCCACGACGGCGGCGGCGAUUUAUAAACGCACGCUUUUCCGAAAAGCGUUAUUUUAUUUCGUUCGGCCGUCCGUCAUGAAUAUUCAUAGCGGCACGUAGUGCAUAAGCGACAUGCUAUCGCUUCCAUCGCCAUCUGGAUCGGGAAUAAAAUAUUUCCGAUUCUAACACACAUACACAACUAGGAUCCCUAUGGCGAUCGUAAACGUCCAGUUUGGUCAUCAUCUAAAACAAAAUUCGAAAUCCCGGCGCAUUCGCAAUCCUGGUCGCUUUGUUAGCCAUUUGUUCAAGCCUUAUAUUGAUAGCGGCGGCGGCGAAAAUUAAUAUUUGACAAUGCGCAUUAGUCGGAAAAGUGUGCGAAAAUGAAAAACAAGCGCUUCGAAAACAACCGUCGACGCCGCCAAAAGUGAAGUUUCAAAGUUAAAAGCCGAAAAUCGCUGGCCAAGUAAGUCUGACAUUUUAAUAUUAAUAUCUUCAUUAAAACUUCAUCACGAGAACGGUUAGCAUUGUUAUGUUUUGGUGGCCUAUUGUUUUGAUUUUGACCUACUCAUUUCAAUAACAGUUCAAAUUGAAAAUUGCAUAUUUAUAUUCUAAAAACAUACAAUACACAAAAAAUAUGUUUUUCUAAAGAAUUAACGCCUACAUAAAUUCUGGCAGAAAAACAAAGGUGUUUUGAGCUUUCCAGCUAUUAAUCUACAUUUAAAUUGGAAGCAGCGGUGCUUUGUUGUAAGACUCUUGGGAUGUCGAUGCAAAUUUAAAUGAGGAAAUCGUCAAAACCCGAAUGGCCAACUUGCAAAAACUCAAAACAAGCAUAUUUAUACCAAGUGUACCAGAUUAACAAGUAAAUUCAAAAUAAAAUAGGAAAAAAUAGUAAAGUAAAAAACAAGUUUCAUGGAACAAAAAAUAGAAUAGGCAUCAUCAACUGCCAAUAUCAUGUAAAACUGUUCGAUGCUCAAUAUUUGGCGAUGUUCAACAUAAAAAUCGACAUGACCAGCAAACGUUGAAGAGUUGACCCGAGGGAAUGAAUAUUGUCGGUACACAUGAAAAUAGAGUGCGUCGAGGGAGUUUCAUAUUCGCUCACAUCAAACAUGAAUUAUGAAAUAUUCAUGUAAUCAGUGUAUGUUAUAAUAAUGUGUUACAACUUGUUUAUAACAAUAAAAAAGUGCACUUA